rnacentral:rRNA from 1 species
AGUAGAACGUCGCGACCCGCUGGGUGUCGGUCUACGGCCCGGGUGAGGCGGCUGUCGCGUCGCCGGUAAAACGGCACGCGGCAAACCCUCGGUCGCCCGGCCGGCUGCCCGGCGGUACUCGCACGGUAUCAGGCCGCAGUCAAGUCUGCGUCGAGCCCGUCGCAAGCGCGCGCCACGGUUACUCGGAGGUACGGACCUAGCGCCGUCCCCGGUCCUGGCCCGCUGUUGGCCGACGGUGAUCCUUCGACAGGCCUCACGGGGCGUGUUCGCGCGCCCCGAUACCGGUCGGCGACGCUACUGCUUUGGGUACUCUUAGGACCCGUCUUGAAACACGGACCAAGGAGUCUAACAUGUGCGCGAGUCAUUGGGACCAGCAAAACCCAAAGGCGCAAUGAAAGUGAAGGUCGGCCCUGGCGCCGACCGAGGGAGGAUGGGCCGCGUCGCGACGCGGCUCCGCACUCCCGGGGCGUCUCGUUCUCAUCGCGAGAAGAGGCGCACCAAGAGCGUACACGUUGGGACCCGAAAGAUGGUGAACUAUGCCUGGUCAGGACG